AUUCUAAAAAAGACAAUUUUAGUCCGCGAAUUAAAAUUUAAUUUUAAUGAAAAGUUUAAAAUAAAAUUUUUAGACGAUAAGACCCUAUGAAGCUUCAUUGCCAGGCAAUUUUUUUGGGGAAAAACUUAAUGUUUUUAUUUUUACAUUAGCAGCAUGUUGAUCUUACUGAAUUUUAAGAAAAAGCUACUCUAGGGAUAACAGCAUAAUUUUUACUAAAGCUCAUAUUAAAGUAAAAGGUUGUGACCUCGAUGUUGAAUUAAGAAAAUUAAUUUGUGCAGCAGCUAAUUAAUUAUAGUCUGUUCGACUAUUUAUUCUUACAUGAUCUGAGUUCAAACCGGA
rnacentral:rRNA from 1 species